AUGAAUGCUGGCGGCGUGUCUAAGGCAUGCAAGUCGAAUGUCUAGUUUACUAGGCAUGGCAAACGGGAGAGUAACACAUUGAUAACUUACCCUGAAGACGGGGAUAACCUUGCGAAAGCGAGAAUAAUACCCGAUAGUAUGUAAUCACAAAAGUGAUUCCAUUAAAGCUCCGGCGCUUCAGGAGAGGUCUAUGGCCUAUCAGCUUGUUGGUGAGGUAAUAGCUCACCAAGGCAACGACGGGUAUCGGGCGCGAGAGCGUGCUCCGACUCACUGGGACUGAGAUACUGCCCAGACUCCUACGGGAGGCUGCAGUCGAGAAUAUUCCUCAAUGGACGAAAGUCUGAAGGAGCGACGCCGCGUGUAUGAAGAAGCCUUUCGGGGUGUAAAGUACUUUUAACUGUGAAAAAACAAUGAUGGUAACAGUUGAAUAAGGGGCUGCUAACCUCGU
rnacentral:rRNA from 1 species